GUAUGUGUAUGCGAUCGAGAGAGAGAUCCAGGGGAGAAACCUUCACCUUAAAAUCCUGCAAAAUCCAUCAAAUUGAAGAAGUUUAAAGCUGUAUUUUUAGUGCAUGAGUUAGGAAUUAUGAUCUCUUAAGUAUUGUUGAUACCAAGUUAAAUUUCAUGUUUUAGUGUUAGUAGGUGAAAUGGGUUAUGUGUAAUCACUGGUUAUAUAUGAAAUUGAAUAUGAAUGCUAGAUGAUAUUAGCAAAUAGAAGUUGUAACUAUGCUUGAAUUUGACUAUAUUGAUAGUUUGGGGUAAAACCCAAUUGUAAAUGUAAGAAAAUAGAGUUUAGUGAAGUUUAUGGAUGAAUUGAGUAAUGUUGAUAUUAAAUUAGUGCUAUAGAAAGAGUUUAGAUGGAUAAUUUGAUAUAAAACAUAUGUUGUAUGAUUGUAAUGAUGAUUGUGAAAGAUUUGAUUAAUCCAUGGAUGAACUAGGAAGAAUAUGCUAUAACCACUUGUACAUUAUGGUUAUUUGAUAAUAUGGACACAACGUGUUUGAUGAAAUGCCUUAAAUUGACGUAGUGGGUUUUUGAUGUCAAAACUAGUUGAAUUUGAUGAGUAAGCAUGGAAAUAGAAUUUAUGUGCGGUUAGUUAAAGCCGUGAUAAAUAAUUGAAGUGUGCGUAUGUAAUGUAUAAUAUGAAAGCUAAACAUGUAACGUUGCACCUUGUAGGGGCAAAGAAGGGCGCAAGUCAGUUGAAGACGCUUGGAACGCAAGAUCACGGAAAAUCUCACCUUUGAUGAUGGCGCGCUUGGAUUGAACACACUACAUCGCCCCUUUAUGCGCUUCCGGUUUAUGUUAUUUUCAACCGGGUAAAAACUAUUUUGGGUUGUAAAUGUUAGUUUAAAAAGUUAGGGUCUUUUGUAAGUAAGUAAGUAUGUUAACUUGUACUUCAUAUGGUGGAUCGGGUUAACUCUUGUGUUUAAACUAGAUGGUUACGUUGAUUUCGAACUAAGGGUGUUUUGGUAAAAAUGAAUGUAAUGAAAUGA
rnacentral:lncRNA from 1 species